AGUUGAAAGGGCUGCAGGGAGCUCUGGGUAAGACAUUUUCUUUUGCUGUUGCUGCUGCCGCCGCUGCUGCCGCCGGCGGUUUUGCAGUGUUAGCUACUGGAGGGAGUCGGAGGAGAACGGGAGGGAGGGGGAUCCGAUUGCAGCCAUGCUGAAUCACUGUCCCUGAUUCGAUCUCCUUCCAACCUGGACCUCCACUCUCUCUCCUCUUUCCACUGGCUGCCUGGGAGCCGCGGGCGGAGAAGACCUGUGAGCUGGGCUGGGAGUCGGGUUCGGUGCCGGGAGUCCCGUCGCCGCCGGAGCUGUGUACAAUGGAGGGGGAAAGUAUCAAGCCAAGUUCCCAGUCUCUUGUGGAAGGUGAGGAUGAAGAGAAGGACCAGAAGACAAUUACAGUCAAUCCUGCCCAUAUGGGGAAGGCAUUCAAGGUUAUGAAUGAACUGCGGAGUAAACAGCUGCUGUGCGAUGUAAUGAUUGUGGCCGAGGAUGUGGAGAUCGAAGCCCACCGGGUGGUGCUGGCUGCCUGCAGCCCCUACUUCUGUGCAAUGUUUACAGGUGACAUGAGUGAAAGCAAAGCCAAGAAGAUUGAAAUCAAGGAUGUGGAUGGGCAGACUCUGAGUAAGCUGAUUGACUACAUAUAUACAGCUGAAAUUGAGGUGACAGAAGAAAAUGUCCAGGUGCUGCUGCCAGCAGCAAGUUUGUUACAACUAAUGGAUGUCCGGCAAAAUUGCUGUGAUUUUCUUCAGUCUCAGUUACAUCCCACCAACUGCCUUGGCAUCAGAGCAUUUGCAGAUGUGCACACCUGCACAGAACUCCUGCAGCAGGCCAAUGCUUAUGCAGAGCAGCAUUUCCCAGAGGUGAUGCUGGGAGAAGAAUUUCUAAGCCUUAGUCUGGACCAGGUGUGUAGCUUAAUAUCCAGUGACAAGCUUACAGUUUCUUCAGAAGAAAAGGUUUUUGAAGCUGUGAUUUCCUGGAUAAAUUAUGAGAAAGGAACUCGUUUGGAACACAUGGCUAAGCUGAUGGAACAUGUUCGUCUCCCCCUCUUACCAAGGGAUUACCUGGUCCAGACAGUCGAAGAAGAAGCUUUGAUAAAGAACAACAACACAUGUAAAGACUUCCUUAUUGAAGCUAUGAAGUACCACUUGCUGCCUUUGGAUCAAAGGCUGUUGAUAAAAAACCCAAGGACUAAGCCAAGGACUCCAGUCAGCCUGCCCAAGGUUAUGAUUGUGGUGGGAGGCCAAGCCCCUAAAGCUAUCCGGAGUGUUGAAUGUUAUGAUUUUGAGGAGGACAGAUGGGAUCAGAUUGCAGAACUUCCUUCAAGGAGAUGCAGAGCAGGAGUGGUGUUCAUGGCUGGAAGUGUUUAUGCUGUGGGAGGCUUUAAUGGUUCCCUUCGAGUUCGGACCGUUGAUGUGUAUGAUGGAGUGAAAGACCAGUGGACGUCCAUUGCCAGCAUGCAAGAGCGCCGGAGCACACUAGGCGCAGCUGUGCUCAAUGACCUCCUCUAUGCAGUGGGGGGUUUUGAUGGCAGCACAGGCCUUGCAUCAGUGGAAGCCUACAGCUAUAAAACAAAUGAGUGGUUCUUUGUGGCACCCAUGAACACAAGGAGAAGCAGUGUGGGAGUGGGUGUUGUGGAAGGGAAGUUGUAUGCUGUUGGUGGUUAUGAUGGGGCCUCCCGCCAGUGCCUCAGUACUGUGGAACAAUACAAUCCAGCAACCAAUGAGUGGACAUAUGUGGCAGACAUGAGCACUCGCCGCAGUGGUGCAGGAGUUGGUGUACUCAGUGGGCAGCUAUAUGCCACAGGUGGGCAUGAUGGUCCCUUGGUGAGGAAGAGCGUGGAGGUUUAUGAUCCUGGGACAAACACCUGGAAGCAAGUUGCAGAUAUGAACAUGUGUCGGCGAAAUGCAGGAAUGAUGAACUAGAGGAUUUCUACAUGAACUGGAAAGACCUCCAGGAAUUGAUGCAGAGUGAAAGGAGCAGAACCAGGAGAACAUUGUACACAGAGACUGAUACAUUGUGGCACAAUCAAACUGUAAGGGUUAAAAUAGGGGUUUGACGAAAUAAGAGAGCAGCUUUUAACAACUUAAGUUUUAAUGAGAAUAUAAUAGAGUUGUAAAUUAAUAUUAUCCCUUUAAGCCAGAGAAAAGAAAACUUUUAGCAGCUUUUAACAAUGAACAAUUUAGUUUUAUUAAAAUAGAGGUAGAAAAGAAUAUAGUAAAGGAAGGAAAUAUAGGAAAGAGGUAGAGAAAGAAAAUUUCCUAAUGUCUAUACUAGUUAUCCUAUAACUACCUAUAAUUACUACCGAAAACUGCCUAUGUCUACCUAUAACUGCCUAAUAACUAUCACCCAACAAAGUUCCAACGCAAUCCACCUCAAUCAAAACCAACCCAAUCAGUGUUUAAUCCAACCCCCAAUUAGGUCUAUCAACGAAGACCAACCACUUCCCAAAACAGUUUAAGAAAGAAAAAAAAAACAACAACAACCUAACAGCCCAAACCAAAAGUCAAAAAAGCCCUCUAAAGGCUAAAGCCAAAAAGCCCUAUUGGUAAGCUCAGGCUCACCUUUUAUAUUCCAGCAACUAAACGCCAACCACCAACUCAACACACUCCCUGCAGCCAACUUCCCUACAACUGCCAGCACCUACCUGUCAGCAACUGACAGCCGGACCAACUGAGGCUGGCCCUUUUUCUACCUCACUUCCUGUCUCUAUGAUUUCUCCUUCCUAUAUCUAUGAUUUCUACUUCCUGACACUGUGGGCUGGUUAAUCCCUACACAUCUCUAUAGUAAGAGGACCUCCAGGUCCCCCAUUAAAUUAAAAAAAGAAUAAAGAAUUCCUUUUUAUAGAAUAUAAUAAACUUUUCUACUAGCAGCAAUGCAAUGAUCCAAACUUAUGAGAAGGAACUCUACAUCUAGAGAAAGAACUGUGGGAGUAGAAACACAAAAGAAAAACACAUGAAUGAUCCAUGGUUUGAUGGGUUUUGGCUUUAAAAGAUCACUCUAUUGCAGAUAUGAAUAUAUGGAAAUAGAUUUUGAGUGAUAAUACAUGUAGAGACCAAUGGAAUUGCUUGUCAGCUCCAGGAGAGGGGAGGGAGGAGGAAAGAGUUAGAACAUGAAUCAUGUAACUAUGGAAAAAUCUUUGUAAUUACUUAAUUGAUAAAAUAAAAAAAUAAUAAUUAAGAUAAAAAAAGGAGCAGGGAACCCUCUUUUAGACCCUAGCUCCAGUGUUCCUUGGCUCCCUCCUCAUUCUUAGGAAAAUAAAAUGAGCACUUCAUUCCCAGUGACUAUGUCUGUGAUUUCUGUUGUGCACUGAGUAACAUCAGACUUAGAAAAUAAGCAUCCUCUAAGCUUAUUCUUUGCCUAGUGGCUUAUUUUGACAGUAAUGGACUGCCUUGAGAGGGCUGGUAUACUUUAUUUAUUUACUUACUUACAUUACUUAAUUUAUUUUUUUAUAAUAUUUUUCCUUGGUUACAUGAUUCAUGUUGUCUCCCUUCCUUUUCCCUCCCCCUUCCCAGAGCUGACAAGUAAUUCCACUGGUCUCUAGAUGUAUUAUCACUUAAAAUCUAUUUCCAUAUCAUUCACAUUUGUAAUAGAAUAAUCUUUUAAAAACCACAACCCCAUAUAACCAUGUGAUAAAUCAUAUGUUUUUCUUCUGCGUUUCUACUUCCAGAGUUCUUUCUCUAAAUGUGGAUAGCAUUCUUUCUCAUGAGUUCCAUGAAAUUGUCCUGGAUCAUUACAUUACAUUACAUUACUAUUAGUAGUAAAGUCUAUCCCACAAUGUUUCAGUUUCUGGGUACAAUGUUCUCCUGGUUCUGUUCAUUUCAUGGAGGUCUUUUCAGUUCAUAUAGAAAUCAAACAGUUCAUCAUUUCUUGUAGCACAAUAUUAUUUCAUCACCAUCAUAUGCCAUUCCCCAAUUGAGGGAUACCCCCUCAUUUUCCAAUUUUUCGUCACCACAAAAAGUGCAGGUAUAAAUAUUUUUGCACAAAUUUUUUUUUAAAUCUCUUUGGGGUACAAACCCAGUAGUGGCAUAGAUGGGCUAGACAGAGUUUCUUUUGGUCGCUUUGUAAUCUUUUUCAUUUUAUUUUUCUCAAUUCCCUGUAAACAAAAACUUUCAACAUUCAUUUAAAAAAAUUUCAAGUUCUAAACUCUCAAGAAAUUUGAAAAGGAUUAUAUCUGUGCAGUCUGUAGUCAUGUGAAACAUUUCUGUAUUAGCCAUAUUGCAAAAGAAAAUAUUGGCCAAAACUCCUCCAAAUAAUCAAGAAAGUAAAAGUAUGUUUCAAUCUACAUUUAUACUCCAUUAGUUCUUUCUCUGGAGGAGGAUGAUAUCUUUAUAAUCUUUUUUCUUGAUGUGAGGCAGAAGAAGUAAAAAAAGCUAGCUUUCAGGGGUGUGAAAUUGUAGCUAUGCUACUCAUUCCCUUCUCUCCACUUGCAUAGUCACUACACCAAAUCAGACCUUCAUUAUUUGUCCUCUGAACUAUUGUAAUAGCCUUCUCACUGAUGUCCGUGCUUCUAUUCUUUCACUUCUCCAAUUCAUCUUCCACACAUCUUCCAAAAUAAUCUUCCUAAGGCAUGGGUCUGAUCAUGUUCAAAACCCUUCAGUGGUUCUCCAUUGCCUCAGCAAUUAAAUGCAAAUUAUUUGGUCUGGCACAAACUCUGCAGGUUGGCUUCAAGCUACUUUUCUUUUUUAAACCUGUACCCUCUUAGAAUGAAUACUGAGUUUCAGUUACAAGGCAGAAUAGUAAGGGCUAGGCAAUUGAGGUUAAAUUACUUGCCUAGGGUCAUACAGCUAGGAAUUGUUUGAGACCAGAUUUGAACCUAGUAUCUCCCAUCUCUGGGCCCAGUUCUCUAUCAACUGAGCCACCUAGCUGCCCCUCUAAGCCACUUUUCCAAGUUCAUUUCACAUUACUUCCCUUUGUGCACUCUAUAUUCCUGGCAAAUUGGACUCCUUGCUAAUUUCCUCUUGCUUUCUUGCCUUUGACCUCUGAAACUCACUCAAUUUAGAUACUUCCCCUAAUGAUAUCAGUUAUUAAUACCCUUCUCACUUCAAAACACUUUCUUUUUGCUUACAUUUUUCUUGUACUCCCACCAAGUAGGAUGUAAUAUCUCUAAGGGCAAAGGCUAUUUUGUUUUGGUCUUUUUCACCCAGUGGCCUAUAUCAGUAUUUUAUACAUAGCAGCAGGUGUUUUGCUGCUUGUUGAAUGGAAUGAAAACCAACUCAUUUCUUUGUUUCUUUUUCUUUAGAGCAAACUAUACACAAUACCAUAUCAUUUUCUUAUUGUUUGAAUUAAAAAAAAGAUACAAGCAUCCAAGAGGUUAUUUCUGAAGUUCUGGAUUUUAAGGAAGAAGUUCUGGUCAUUCACAAAAAUCUAUUUGAAUUUCAUGAUCUCACUCGAAUCUCAAAACUUCUGUCAACUACAUACUAAAGAUUUAACUCCCAUUUUGCAGAUAAGUAAAAUGAGACUAACUUAAUGAAUUAUUCUUCUGUCUCUUCUAUAAUUCAGGAUUAGAAUGAAUUGAAUUCAAAAGCCAGUGCUAAAGUCAUUGAUUCUUAGAAGUACAAGAGAUCUUGGAUGUUAUCUAGUCUAAUGUUCCACCUAAUGUAGGAACCCCCUUGAUGAAAUCCUUGAUGUGUCAUCCAGUCUCUGAUUAAACAUUUCCAGGGGACAGGCUGCUCAUGGCCUCACACAGGAGUUUAUUCCUUUCUUCAAUGGCUCUUAUGGCUAGAAAGUUCUUGUCCAUGACUCUCUAUGAAUCUUUUAUUCACGUCCUCCACCUUGCAUUGAAGGAUCCACUUGACAUUCUGGAGGUUUUCCUCUGAUUAUUAUUAUUUAACCCAUGUCUUUUUAGUAUCCUGUCUAAGACAAAAGAGUUGUAAGAGCUAGGCAAAAAAGUGACUUGCCUAAAGUCACACAUCAAGGAAGUGUCUGAUGGCAGAUUUGAACCCCAGGUUCUUUGGACUCUAGGCCUGGUGCUGUAUCCACUGAGCCACCUACCUGUCCUAUUUUGUGAGUGCAAGUGUAAUGAGAGGUAGUGUGAUUUAUAGAGGGCAAUAGAGGAAGACUCAGAUUCAAAUCCUGAGUGAUUAUGGGCAGGUCACUGAAUCUCUUAAUGACCUAAAUAGUUCUCUGAGACUAUAAGUUACAGGUAAGCUGCAAAAGUGGUUUUGUUGGAGGAAGCUUCUACAUUGGGACGCUAAGACUAGACAAAAAAGAAACCUCAAAGAAAUAAUAAAUAAAUAUAUAAUGAUAAUAAGUAAAUAGCACUCAGGCUAUCCAUUUAUUAUCUCUGAUUCUUACAUUUCUCAUUCCAGCCGACCCCCUUUUCUAGUCUUAUAUAUCUUUGAUGUUGCCAUUUGUGGCAUUAGAGCAUUUCCUGUGUACCUGUUAAGACCAUGACAUACAUCCAGGGAGAUAGAUUUGUUCAACAACCACUGAGUCUCCAUCCAUCAAGGCAUUACAGAAGGUAUUUGUUUGUUUGCCCUUAGAUCUUAGGGGUGUCAUUAAUAUACCUUAAACAUAUUUCAGAUAGAAGGGAAAUUCCCUACGAGUGGAGAUAGGUACAAAUAUUCCCAUUUGUGGAUGACACUGUACAAAUGGCAUAUUGUCCUAAAUCACUAUAUCUCUCUCACCCACCAGUUAUAUUAGUUGAAUCUCCCAACUCUGGGUCACCUGAAAAUUACCUGCAUUUGUCUUCUGUGUUGUUUUUCAAGCCACUGAAUGGGACAGAACAGUACAAAUGCCACUUCAUUUAAUUCAUCAUACUAUUAAAUCAACAUUCUGAGUACAUUUGACCAACUAGCUACUUAAGUCCACUUUCAUCUAUUAUUGUCAGUCUGAAUUUCUUCAUAAGGAUAUCAGAGGAGAUUUUAUUAGAUGCUUUAUUGAAAUCCUUAUGCCCUGCAUUGUGGCUCUCCCCUUAUCUACCAAUCUAGUUAUUUUAUCUAAGAAGAAAAUCAGAUUAGUUUGGUUUGUAUGCUAACUUGUAAGCUCCUUGUGUGCAAGUGUAAAAAUUAAAUUAGUCUCUACUGAUUAAAAAUAUUAUAUUUUAUGAGGUUUAUUAAAGAUUAUUAGAAAUAAAGGAAAUAAGAAAAUACAAAAAAAGAAAAGCAUGUGCCUAGGGCUGAUUAGCUCAUUCAUAAUUCAUUACAUUUUGCAUGCCGAGUAGAGAGACGCGUGUGCUUAGAAGCGGAAGAAGAGAGCGUUUGGGAGGCAGAGAGCCCUUUAAAUACUAAAUUGUGUUCUCCCACUCAGGUGAGAACUCAGGUGAGAUUAUAGGGAAUUCUGGGAAGUACCAAGGACUUCUGGGGAUUGAAGUCCAGGGUUCACAUCUCCAUUUUACAUCCCCUCACCCCUGUGAUCAUAUUGGGAAACCAGUUUCCCCAAAAGGAUCAUGGAAACAUAAUCAACUUAAAGAUUACAAUAGUUUGAGGAUAAGAGGAAAAGAGAACAAAACCAAUGAUCACUAGGCGCAUUGACAAAAAGCCAGUUAAGGGGCAGUCCCCUUUGGCAUAAGAGUGUACAUACAAAUUAAAUGUUCAAUCAACCACACCCAAAGUUCAUUCUUGAUCUUUCUCAUGCAGCUUGUGGUCUGUGGAGGCAUCUUCAUUGUGUCUUCUCCAAGCAAUUUAGUUUCUGGAUUUGGAGAGGUAGUAUGUUUCUUAACCUAAAAUUUCUCUCUCAAGGAAUUUAAACUUUGCAAUUUAAAAUAAUAAUAAUUAUACAUUCCCCAUCUGAAGAGGGUGAUUGAAAAACACAGGGAUCACUUAGGGAUGCAUGGCUGAGUUAUGAGGUAUAUGAAUCAAUUGGCAAGAAAAAUUUAAAAAAUCCAAAUAAAAAAAAUAAUUUCUAGAUAAAAUAUAGACUUAUGUGUAAAAAUUCCAAGUAAAGGAAAAAUAAAUCUAUAACAGGUUCUUGAAUCAGGACCCAAUUAAAAUGAUAUAAGCAAUUAAGCAUUUACCCAGUCAGUAGCAAGGACUACGGAAAGUUGCCACAUUAUGAAAGACAGAAUAGGGACUAGAUUAUAAGAGCCAAAUUUGAGAUACUCGGCUGUAAGUAUUUUCACAGAGUGGCCUUUAUCUUAAUGUAUGUUAAGUGUCGCAACCUCGAGUCUUCACGCUAGGUUCAAGUCCUUUGUAUUGGCUUAGAAUUUAUCAACCCCAUUGGAAUUGGUUGGUCUCUUUGACCUUGUGCUCGAUUGGCACUCUGCAGGUUAACUUUGUGCUUCUUUGGCCCUGUGCAAUGGCUCUUUUGUAUAUCUUGGCCAUGGAAUCAAGCAGAAUCAUUAAAUUUUUUAAACUAUUAGUGGCAUCAUUUUGUAGUCUCAAGCUUUUGGGGCAUGCAUUGACAUUAUAGCAAAUAUAUUUUAGACUUAUAUUACUGCUAAAUCAAAAAAGUUAAAGAAAAUAUUAAUAUUGGUGAUAUGUGCUUCAAAUAUAAAAAAGGAGAAAAAAAAUAAAAGACUGAAAUAGUAUAUUGCACAUACAAGAAAAAUAUAAUAAUAAAAGAAUUUUAAAAUUCAAAAAUAUAGCUUAUAAUCAUUGACACACUGUGUCAGCUAAGGAAAUAUAGAAUGCAAGACUUUUUCACCAAAAUGAGAUCCAUUUCCUCUUCAUACCUGGCCAUGAUCCACUGUGAGUACAAGCAAAUGAAUUUUACAAGGUAACAGUUUUUUAAAAAAUAAAGAACAGUAGAACAAACAUGUAGCUAUCAAUAUCCCCAAAAUUCUCAAUAUCCCAAUUAAUUACAAUAGCAAACAAAAACCACUAUCAUUUUUUACAUAAGUUGCUGUAUGGCAUUUUUAAAGGCCUGUGAACUGAUUGGAUAUUUGUCACAAUUUUUACAAAUGUAGCAAAUCUCUCAACCUUAGCAAAUAUAUUUUUAAACAAAGUAAAACUUUUUUGGGUCUAGAACAUCAUCCAGAAAUCUAGAUAUCAUUACAAAAAAAUGUGGCAGAGGAGGAAAAACCCAAACCCCUGUACUGUUGAUGUUGGGUAAUUUGAGCUGAAGAGUUAUAAAUGAGAGAUGCUCCUCUUUUGGGAGUCUUCUAGGGGUACAAUGCUCUGGGAUUAACUUCCCAGCUCCUUUGGUAUGAGACUGAUGUCCCAUCCAUUCACAUUUUAUAAAUGUGGGAGGUAGAGAUUAAAUUUGUAUUUCACUUCAGCUACUAAAAUGGACCUUACCUCCUGUUAGGGGCAGGCAAAAUGAUCAGAGAUUGUUAAAAAAAAAAUCUAAAAGUCAUGUCUAAAGACCUCUUAUAAUCAAUUUGAGAUAUUUAGCUCAUUAAAUUUUCCAAAGGUUGUUAUACAAUUGUAACCAGUUCUGAUGAAGUCCAUCUAUCCACUUUGUGACAAUUUACAAAUUCAAAACAGCAAAAGGAUGUUUUUAUAUAUGGGUGUAUUCAAUAAUAUUUGUUCAGUAUAGUUAUAGGGGAAAAGCAACAGAAUUUAACAGUAGUUAAAACCCAGUACAUUAAAAUGAUUCAGUGUAAUAGUAUUGAAUACACUAAUAUAUGAAUUUAAAACCAACAAAAUUAAAUCUUAAAAUAAUCAGCAAAAUGCAAUAGAAUACAGAGAUUUUUUAUGAAACAUUGGAGUCUGAAAUGCCUUAAAAAUAUAACCUACAGUUUUAAAAAAAAAAUCCACUUAGAUAUCUAUUGUCAGAAGGCAGAAGAUUGGUAAGGGGUAGGCAACAACCAGGAAGUGUCAGAGACCAGAUUAGAACCCAGGACAUCCCAUCUCUAGACCUGGCUCUCAAUCCACUGAGCCACUGAGAUGCCUCUCCAUAGUGAGGGUGGGUUUUAAGAAUCUCAAAUUGGGUAGACCCAAAUGGCAUAGAAUUGCAGGGAGAUGAAUUUCUCCUCUGAAUCUUAGGUGAGAUAAAUAAAAGGACCAGUGCACUCAAAAGAUACCCUUUGAAAUAAGCCAUCCGUAUAACUUCCUGUUUGGAAAAGUUUCUUCCUUCUCCUCUUUCUCUCCCCCUGUGGUCCCCUGCUCCCACGUGGAGGCUAAUUGUAGCCUAAGGAAAGAACACCCCCGCUUUUACCAGCUGGUGUUUGAUUCCGAAGACAGACACAAAGGGCAGCUACCAGCAACCUGGGCGAUGAGCGAUUUGGGUUGGAGGCCAGAUUUGCUGGGGCCGGGGAUCAUCUGGGCCAGGUGUAUGUGCAGUGAACGGGCUCUUGUACGUGGUUGGAGGUGAUGACGGUUCCUGUAAUCUGGCAUCCGUGGAGUACUACAACCCAGUUAGUGACAAGUGGACGCUGCUGCCCACAAACAUGAGCACGGGGA